AAAAAGGUUCUCUUAAGAACCAAAUUCCAUUCAAAAUUUGAAUUUUU
rfam:Loa loa cont3.3348, whole genome shotgun sequence.